CUGGCCGCAAGCGGAGCACAUACAAAUUUCGCACGCGACCGGGGACCCUAGCUCUCUCUUCUCUUCUUCGGUUUCUUACCGCUCUCCAGGUCAGAGAUCCAGCGAGAGACCGCUCCGCCCCACGCGGCCUCCCCGCUCCCUCCCCUCACCCCCCCGCGGCCCGCCCAGGAGCUCCGGCACGCGCCCGCCGCGGCAGAAGCGCCAGGGGGAGGGGACGCCGCCGCGGCAAUGGCGGCAAUGGAGGCCGCCGCCGACGCGAUGCUCGCCGCCGCCAGCCGCGCCUUCUGCAGCUCCGUCGCGGUCUUCUUCCAGAUCCAGGGGUGCUGUAUCUGCUUACUACUUGCUUUUGGUUGGUCUGUUGCUUCACUGGUCAGAAAAAAGGAAAUUCGCAAGAUGAGGCGCAAAAUGGCAUCUGGACAUAGUUUUGCAUUUCUUUGUGAUGACGUAGAUGAGCUUGAGCACUCUGUCCAGCAGAAAUUACCUAUGGUCUCUGUAGUCAUGCCUUUGAAGGGAUUUGGGGAACACAAUUUGCAAAACUGGAGAACCCAGAUUACUUCUCUUUAUGGGGGGCCAUUGGAAUUCUUGUUCGUAGUAGAAAGCAAAGACGAUCCAGCUUAUCGUGCCGUCUCCCGUUUGAUUGUAGAGUACAAGGACAAAUUGGACGCAAAGGUGGUUGUAGCUGGGUUUUCAACAACGUGUAGCCAGAAAAUUCAUAAUCAGUUAAUUGGUGUUGAAAAGAUGCACAAGGACAGCAAAUAUGUUCUAUUUCUAGACGAUGAUGUCAGACUGCAUCCUGGGACAGUCGGAGCUCUCACAAAAGAAAUGGAGAAGAACCCUGAGAUAUUUAUCCAAACGGGAUACCCCCUUGACUUACCUUCUGGCAGCUUGGGAAGCUAUUGCAUAUAUGAAUAUCACAUGCCCUGUUCGAUUGGAUUUGCAACUGGUGGGAGGACUUUCUUUUUGUGGGGUGGCUGUAUGAUGAUGCAUGCUGAUGAUUUCCGGCAAGACCUGUAUGGUUUAGUCACUGCACUAAAAAAUGGUGGUUACUCAGAUGAUAUGACCCUGGCUGCAAUUGCUGGGCAACAUAAAAGGCUCAUAACUUCACCACCGGUUGCUGUGUUUCCACAUCCUCUUGCAAGUGAUCUCAGCUUCUCCAGAUACUGGAAUUAUCUGAGGAAGCAAACUUUUGUUCUUGAAUCAUAUGUAUCAAAGGUCAACUGGAUAAUGAACCGUGCACUAUUUGGUGUGCAUUUCUAUUUGUCAUGGGGAUUUGUUUGUCCCUAUGUUAUGGCUUUGGUACAUAUUGCGACUACUCUUAGAGCACCAUACAGCACAAUUGUAAAGGAAGCAGCUGGCUCAUCUUGUGGUCUGAAACUAGUGAGCUUCUUGUUAAUAUGCACUCUCACUGAACUUGUUUCAAUGUGGAAUUUGACGAGAGUUGAGAUUCAACUCUGCAACAUGUUGUCUCCAGAAGGUCCACAAGACUCCCUUCGUUCAUAUAACUGGGGGCUUGUGUUCGUCGCCGUGUUAGUAGAUAAUUUCCUCUACCCGAUAUCUGCCAUCCGGUCUCACUUCUCCCAAUCAAUCAAUUGGUCUGGUAUCAGGUACUACCUGAGAGAUGGGAAAAUAAGCAAGAUUGAAAGGGAGAACAGUUUGAAGUACACUGAUCUCGGCGGGAAGCAUCUGUAUGGCAAGAAGACAUACCCUGCUGGAAAGUCGUUGCUCGGUUACCUGUCCAUAAGCCUAGCGCAAUGGCACCAGCCCAAGAAGUACGAUGUCUAAGAAAUUUGCCAAGUGGAAUUCUGUCCUCAAUUUUGUGGGGCGUCGUGUUGUACACCUGUGUUUUCUUCUUCUUCCUUUUCCUUUGGUUUUUUGAUUGAUUGGUUGGUAAUGGUAGGCUCUCUCAUUCUUACUGGAUUCAGUUGUUCAGGCAUUAAUUAAAAGGAUUGCACCUCAUACUAGUUCUUGUAACAUUACAGAUGUGUAGCGGGCAGAUUGGUUGAAGAAGUGAAAAUGUUCCAUAGUGGCCUGUUCUUCGUUGUUU
rnacentral:rRNA from 1 species